UAGAGGAAGAAGAGUAGUCGGUUGUCAAAUGGGCGGAAGGAUAUGCAGUAUUGUGAUUCGCCUCCAGUCUGUUUGACGCCAGGACGGGUGAGAGACGAGGGAAAGAGAGGCAGGAAAAAAAAGAAAAAACUCCUUCAUGUCGGUGUCUGUAAAACAGAGCAAAGGUCGACAGACGCUACACCACUUCAUGAAAGGGAUGGUGGUGUCCCGCAAGGGGGUGUUGAGAAGUGAUUGAAAAGUUUCCUUGCUGUCUUUUCUUUCCUUUCUGUGCGAAUGAGGUGCCCCUUCUCGAAGUGUCAACCUCUUGUAUCUAAUAGCUGACUCAUCGUUGUUUUCAGCCUUAAUUCCUCAGUUACCCUUUACACUAAUUCCUGGAGUGGUUGUGACCCAGUUCCACCCCUCUUCCCGCUUCACUGCAGGCCUUCCUGAGUCCUGAGCACCAGCAGCUGCGUCCUGCCCCGACUUCCUGUCCUUGGUCGUACAAGGCUAAGCUCGUCAACUCCCCUACCCCCCCACAUACACAAACACACACACAAUCAUCUUCCUGGCACACUGCGGGCCGAGAGCGCUUCAGAUCCCACU
rnacentral:lncRNA from 1 species